rnacentral:misc_RNA from 1 species
AAAUGCGAUAAGUAAUGUGAAUUGCAGAAUUCAGUGAAUCAUCGAAUCUUUGAACGCACCUUGCGCUCCUUGGUAUUCCUUGGAGCAUGCCUGUUUGAGUAUCAUGAAAUCUUCAAAGUAAAUCUUUUGUUAACUCAAUUGGUUUCUACUUUGGUAUUGGAGGUCUUUGCAGCUUCACACCUGCUCCUCUUUGUUCAUUAGCUGGAUCUCAGUGUUAUGCUUGGUUCAACUCGGCGUGAUAAGUUAUCUAUCGCUGAGGACACUGUAAAAGGUGGCCAAGGUAAAUGCAGAUGAACCGCUUCUAAUAGUCCAUUGACUUGGACAAUACUUUUAUGAUCUGAUCUCAAAUCAGGUAGGACUACCCGCUGAACUUAAGC